UCAUUAGAUCUCUCAUCUGAGUGUGAGUGUCCUGUUUGGAGGGUCCUCCGAAUGAGUCUGAUUGGAACACCUGUUCCAACGAGAGUGGUAAUGGCUCUUGACAUUCAAGAUCAAGGAAGAAAUCCAUGCUUUCUUCUAGUAUGCAGUGCUUUCCUUCUCAGUGUUGUCCCACCAAGGCAGAGAGUGGUAACAAAGAAGACUCAGCAGUUCCUCCCUCAGAUGAGGAAAGCUAUGUGGGGUCUUCUCAAAACAAUCAUCUAAUUUUGAGCCUUGAGGAUAUCAAAAGGAAAAUCAAGCCAUUGAGAGAGUGGACUAUCCAUGAGUUACUGAGGGAGUUUGGGGAUAGUUGGAAGUUCCAACCAAACUCCAUGUCUCUGAGCUACUUUAGAGAUCAGGUGGUUAUGAAUUUCAGAAGAGCUCUGUAUUAUUCUGGAAUUUCGGUGACGCAUAUUCGAGGCUACAAACCUCAAAAGCACUUUACAGCUAAUUAUUUUAAAAGAAACCCAGGUUGCCUACACCGGCUGGUUCCCUGGCUGGAAGGGGAACUAACAGCUGUUUAUGGAGAUUAUGGCUACACAGUGAAGAACAUCCUAAUCACCAUCCUCCAUCACAUGACAGAAUGUGACUUGGACAGUGAGUCCUUCAUUCACCUCCUGGAACCUUAUCUCUUACAACACACCCACCAUUUCCUACAUGAGUUUAUUAGUUUUGUUCAUUCACCUUACAACAUGGAGACCUAUGACCAGCAAGCCAUCUAUCAAUGCUCUGCUGCUUCACCAUGUGUAAACAAGAAGCCCCUUGUAUCAGCUCCUGUUUCACCUCUGCCUAAGGAUCACAGUCUACUGAUAUCUCAACAUAAUACAAAGCAGUCUAAAAAUACCCAGGGUCAAUGGAAUAAAGAGGAGAGGCCCCUGUCAGGCUUGAAACAGUUUCCAAAUGGUAACUCUUCCUUGAAGAAAUCUGAAAUCCCACCAGUCUGUGAUAAAACAGUAAGCAAAAUCUAUGGUGGAAUCAAAGACAAAGCAGAAUCGGGUGACCACAAAAGCAUCAUUUCUAUGAAUAAUAUACUCCAGAAGUGGGCUACUCCAAGGGAAAGGUGCCCAGGCCUACUGAAUUGCAAAAAAAAAGUUCAAGAGAAAAAGACAGAAGGGAUAAAGUUGUUUCCUGAUCAUGUCCAUGAUCUGGGAAAGAGUGACACAACUGCACACACCUUCAGUACCCCAGCAAUUUCUAAUCAGGUGCAACCACAGAAAUAUAGUUUAAGAGAAAGAAAGGAUUUGAGCCUUGGCCAGAAGAUAAACUUUCAGAAAAAAGAAGAAGACAAUAACAAAUACUCAGAUUCUUCACCAAAGACCUUUCAAAGAUUGUCCAGAGAAAGAUCCUUGAAAAGUUGCAAAUCCAGAGAGAGAGACCCCUCUUGGAGUUGCAUUUCAGAAAAUGCCUUUUCUCCUAAGAGAGAUGGCAGGAAACUGAGUUCUUUCAGAAAAAAGAGGAUAAAGUGUAGACAACCCUCCCAAUUUGUAGAAAUUGGGUCACACUCCAGGAGAAGAAUCCAAAGACGAUCAAGGUCCAAUACUCACAGAUCCAAAUCCUGGUGUGUUGGAUCUAGAAAGAGAUCUGUAAGCAGAGAAUCGAGUAAUCUCUCUCUGAGAGGAAGUCACAGAAGUGAACACUUCACCCAGAAUAUAUGCUGUGAGCCCUCAAAAGACAAGCAUGCCCAUGGCAAUGAAUCAGACUGUGGGAGGCCAUCUUCAACCACAGUCCAAUACGUGAAGCUUUCUUCAACUGCUGGGAAGAGACCCAAGUGUGCUUCUAAAAGUGAAGGUACUUCCCAAGCAGGAAGACGCUGUAACAGUCCCACAUGCCUACAGCUCCAGAAACACAGAUCCCCAAGUAAACAGGAGAUAAAGCAAGAAACUACAUUUCCUAGAGCUAGAAGAACCAGAGCAGUUAGGCACAGAAAAACCAAAUGCCAUUAUUCAGAUAUACACACCACAGAGGAUGUCAGUGAUGAAUUGGGCAAUCUGGAUGAUAUAAGACAAACGAGUGGUCUGAGUGUGCACCCUCCUGCAGGAGGCAAAUCCACGAAAAACAGCAUU
rnacentral:sRNA from 1 species